UGUUAGGUUUAUUUGUAGUCUUUGCACACAACCUGCCUGAUGAAAUGCUACAUAGAGAUAGAGCAAAGCAAGAUGUCUUGACACUGAUUAUAUGUUUUUAUUUUUGUAUAAAGUUUUGAUCUUGUGAUGUGCAGAAGCCCAAGAUGGAAGGACUUGGAGGCAUUGGUUUAAUAUGUGAAAACUUUGAGGGAUCUCCCACGAACUUUCCCGGGUCAUCCAUGGUUGGACACUCCGGAAGGUCAUGCUUCGCUGAGACGUGUUCAGAUGCAAUUUUUACAUCUUAAGCUGUAGUUAUGAUUUAUUAGUUAUGAUCAUUUACAUCUUUGUAGAUCCUCAUGGAACCAAAGAAUGCUCUUGGUAAGCAAUUUAAGAAGCUGUAGUUACAUCUUUAUGAUAAUCCAGAACUUAACGCUAAAAUGAGAGGUAUUUUGAUAGAUUGGUUGAUUGAAGUUCACUGGAACUUCAACAUGAUGCCGGAGAGUCUUUACCUCACUAUCAACAUUGUCGACCGAUAUCUCUCUAUGCGAAAAGUUGCCUGAAGAGAAUUUCAGUUGGUUGGUAUGAGUGCAAUGCUCAUUGCUUGCAAAUAUGAAGAAAUUUGGCCGCCAGAAGUCAACGAUUUGAUCGCAAUUUCAGACAAUGCGUACUCGGGAGAACAUAUUCUUGUUAUGGAGAAAGCGAUUCUUAGUCAACUUGGUUGGUAUUUGACCGUACCUAUACCAUAUGUGUUUCUUGUUCGGUAUACAAAAGCUUCAAUUCCUUCGGAUGAUGAGGUAAUCAUGUAACUUGGAGCACUAAUGUAUUGAAACAAGCCAAUGACAAAACUGAGGAAGACGGAAAAUGGGAAGAACUCAUGAUACUUGCAACAAACCCAUGAAGACAAUGAUUUAUAAGUAUUAUGUUAUCUUGUUUUUUUUUUUUUUUUU
rnacentral:lncRNA from 1 species